rnacentral:rRNA from 1 species
AAAAUUUUAAAGGUCGAACAGACCCAAAUGCCUAACUUCUACACCAGGCCUUAACUUUAAUCCAACAUCGAGGUCGCAAACCCUUCUUUCGAUUGGGACUCUUAAGAAAGAUUACGCUGUUAUCCCUGAGGUAAUUUUAUCUUAUAAUCACAAAAAAUGGAUCAAUUUUUCAUAAAUAAAUGUAAUAAUUAAAAAAAAGUUUUUCUAAUUUUUCGAUCACCCCAACCAAAUACUAAAUUCCAUUAACCAACUAAAAAUACUAUAGGAAGAUUAAUACAACUCUAUAUAAAAUUCUACAGGGUCUUCUCGUCUUUUAAUAUUAUUUAAGCUUUCUUACUUAAAUAUAAAAUUCAAUUAAAAUUAACUAGAGACAGUCAUUCUCUCAUCCUACCGUUCAUGCCAGCUUCCAAUUAAGAAACUAAUUAUUAUGCUACCUUUGCACGGUCAAGAUACCGCGGCCCUUUAAUUACUCAGUGGGCAGGCAAGACCUAAAAUAAUAAUCAAUAGGCC